AGAGUUUGAUUCUGGCUCAGGAUGAACGCUAGCUACAGGCUUAACACAUGCAAGUCGAGGGGCAGCAUGGAGUCAGCUUGCUGACUCUGAUGGCGACCGGCGCACGGGUGAGUAACGCGUAUCCUACCUUCCCUAUAGUAAGGGAUAGCCCGGCCAAAGUCGGAUUAAUACCCUAUGUUUUCCGAUGCAGGCAUCUAAAAGGGAACAAAGGCUUGCCGCUAUAGGAUGGGGAUGCAUCUGAUUAGCUUGAUGGCGGGGUAACGGCCCACCAUGGAAUCGAUCGGUAUGGGUUCUGAAAGGAAGGUCCCCCACAUUGGAACUGAGACACGGUCCAAACUCCUACGGGAGGCAGCAGAGAGGAAUAUUGGUCAAUGGCCGCUAGGCUGAACCAGCCAAGUACCGUGCAGGAUGACGGCCCUAUGGGUUGUAAACUGCUUUUAUGCCGGGAUAAAGUGACGUAGCGUGUGCAUUUUUGCAGGUACCGCAUGAAUAAGCACCGGCUAAUUCCGUGCCAGCAGCCGCGGUAAUACGGGAGGUCCGGGCGUUAUCCGGAUUUAUUGGGUUUAAAGGGAGCGCAGGCGGGCGUUUAAGUGUGACGUGAAAUGUAGCCGCUCAACGGCUGAACUGCCUCGCGAACUGUAUGCCUUGAGUGAGUACGCCGCGGACGGAAUUAGUGGUGUAGCGGUGAAAUGCUUAGAUAUCACGAGGAACCCCGAUUGCGAAGGCAUUCCGCGAGUCCUUUACUGACGCUGAAGCUCGAAGGUGCGGGUAUCGAACAGGAUUAGAUACCCUGGUAGUCCGCACGGUAAACGA
rnacentral:rRNA from 1 species